UGUAACUGUAACUAGUUACACUUUGGCGUCUGUAACUUGUAUCGGUAACUAGUUAUGUUUUUGGUAAUGUAACUAUAACUGUAACUAGUUACAAAUAAACUGUAACUGUUACAGCACUGACUGUAAUAAUGUUUAUGAGUUAAAAUGAUUUUUAAAUAUUAAACCCCAUACCUAUCUUUAAAUCUCCAUUUAAUGACUUGGUUAUUGUGAAAAUGC
rnacentral:lncRNA from 1 species